rnacentral:rRNA from 1 species
GACGAACGCUGGCGGCGUGCCUAAUACAUGCAAGUAGAACGCUGAAGAGAGGAGCUUGCUCUUCUUGGAUGAGUUGCGAACGGGUGAGUAACGCGUAGGUAACCUGCCUUGUAGCGGGGGAUAACUAUUGGAAACGAUAGCUAAUACCGCAUAACAAUGGAUGACACAUGUCAUUUAUUUGAAAGGGGCAAUUGCUCCACUACAAGAUGGACCUGCGUUGUAUUAGCUAGUAGGUGAGGUAACGGCUCACCUAGGCGACGAUACAUAGCCGACCUGAGAGGGUGAUCGGCCACACUGGGACUGAGACACGGCCCAGACUCCUACGGGAGGCAGCAGUAGGGAAUCUUCGGCAAUGGGGGCAACCCUGACCGAGCAGCGCCGCGUGAGUGAAGAAGGUUUUCGGAUCGUAAAGCUCUGUUGUAAGUCAAGAACGAGUGUGAGAGUGGAAAGUUCACACUGUGACGGUAGCUUACCAGAAAGGGACGGCUAACUACGUG